rnacentral:rRNA from 1 species
UACGUAGGGGGCAAGCGUUGUUCGGAAUUACUGGGCGUAAAGCGCGCGCAGGCGGCUCUUCAAGUCAGGGGUGAAAGCCCAGAGCUCAACUCUGGAACUGCCUUUGAGACUGAAGAGCUUGAGUACGGGAGAGGUGAGUGGAAUUCCCAGUGUAGAGGUGAAAUUCGUAGAUAUUGGGAAGAACACCGGUGGCGAAGGCGGCUCACUGGCCCGUUACUGACGCUCAGGCGCGACAGCGUGGGGAUCAAACAGG